GCCUGUACGACUCGGAUAACUCCGGGAAACCGGAGCUAAUACCGGAUAGUUCCUUGAACCGCAUGGUUCAAGGAUGAAAGACGGUUUCGGCUGUCACUUACAGAUGGACCCGCGGCGCAUUAGCUAGUUGGUGGGGUAAUGGCUCACCAAGGCGACGAUGCGUAGCCGACCUGAGAGGGUGAUCGGCCACACUGGGACUGAGACACGGCCCAGACUCCUACGGGAGGCAGCAGUAGGGAAUCUUCCGCAAUGGACGAAAGUCUGACGGAGCAACGCCGCGUGAGUGAUGAAGGUUUUCGGAUCGUAAAGCUCUGUUGUUAGGGAAGAACAAGUGCGAGAGUAACUGCUCGC
rnacentral:rRNA from 1 species